UGAAUUUAUUCAUCUUGAAUUUUUGCAAUAUCAAUUCAUGUGAUAUUUUCUUUAUCUUUUUAAACAAAGGUGAUUUUAUUGGAAUAUAUACUGCAAUGAUGGUUCCAUAGAGGAUCAUUUUAUUUAAAAAGAAGUUCAAUACAAUACAAAGGUAUGUUAUAUGAAAGCAAUAUCCUCUGAGGUGAAACGAAAAAAUAUCCCAAAAUCUAUUAGGGACAGCUGGAAGCCUCUUUACGAUACUAAUGAUUUUAAAGAUAAAUCUACAAAAUGUUCAAAUAAUCGAGAAUUGAGAAGUGUGGUGAAGGAUCUGGUCCCUCACGCCGUAUUGGAGGCUCCCGGACUCACCGAGAACAUGCAAGACAAAUGGCAAUUGUACUUGGACGGCUACCUCAUCCACACAAACUUUUGAAAAGGACACAUACAAAAGGAAACGAUGAGUUUGUGGAUCUGAAGUCUAAGAGCACAUAUGAAUGACAUUGGUUGCAAGGGGAUCUCAAAGACCAUUGUAUAGGUGAUAUCAAUUCUACCUUUAUUCAAUUUUUUAUGUAAUGCAAAGAAUAGAAAGUAAAUUACCUUACAAGAGAUUAAUUUUUCCGUGUCAAAACAUAAGAAGAAUUUUUGUAGAAUGUGAUGUAAUGACUUUUAAUGCCAUUAACAUCUAGUAUGAGAUAUACAAAUUAAUUCUUCACUUUGAAA